AGGGCAGGCGGCCUCGAGGGCGGCCUUGGCGGUGUCGAUGACGUCGUAGCGGCGCGCCGAGUUCUUGUUGGGAAUGGCGUCCUUCUCCGUCUCCAUCCCGUUGAAGGUGUCCAGCAGCAGCGACGCGUCGCACCCCUGCACGAAGCAGUCGUGGAAGUGGAGGCGGAUCAGGCUGGCGAAGACGCGCGGGUCCGACUUGUGCGCCUGCACCAGGACACCCUGCACGAUCUUGUACGCGUCCGGGCACGUGCAGUCGUAGUAGUCCACGCACAGGUCCGCCGCCGCCGCCCCGCCGGCGUGGAGGACGCAGACGGCCGCCAGCAGCGCGGCCAAGGUGGCGGCCACCCGAAAGGAGGAGGAAGAAGAAGCCAUGUUGCUAAGAAG
rnacentral:lncRNA from 1 species